GCUAACGUAGCUUAAUCAAAGCAUAACACUGAAGAUGUUAAGAUGGACCUUAAAAUGGUCUCGUAAGCA
rnacentral:tRNA from 1 species